rnacentral:tRNA from 1 species
CAGGUCAUAGUUAAGCUUAAUAACAGUUCUCUUACACUGAGCCAUCAUUCGUGAAAACCGAAUUGACCUGA